CACAGCUCAGCUAAGCCACCCUGGAGAAAGAAUCUUACAAAGAAUACUAAAGAGCAUCCAAGUGUGAAGAAUGAAACACACAGAUGAGCCCCAAGAGGAUGAGGAAGGGAGAGGCUGGUGGGGGUCUGAUUCUCAUCUCCACCUUAACAGAAUGCACAUGAAGUCCAGCCAUGGUGUAGCCAAGGAGACCCACUAAGACCACCAAAAGCUUGGAAAUGAGGAUGCAGGGGCAAAGGACGGCAUUAUAGGCGCAUACAUCUCUUCACACCAUGAAUGAUUUGAAGCUUGCAUGCUUUUGGAUUGCCCUGGUGAAGAUUUAGUUUCCAGCUCAAGAAAACCCAUGUCAGAAAAUCGUCCUUCAGCAUUCUCAGAGGAUAAAUAAAAAAGAUUGCUACUGAAAGAACCCAAUUUUGUUUUUCAAAAUAUAUGUGCAAAUAGACAUUGAAAAAAAUAUGGGCAUGAUAUAAUCAAAAUGGUAUAAAUUGUCAUGUAUGGAUAGAGGAUAAUAAUGAUUUCUAUUUUGGGGGAGGACUUUUUAAUUUUCUUGUUAGCG
rnacentral:lncRNA from 1 species